rnacentral:rRNA from 1 species
UACGUAGGGUGCAAGCGUUGUCCGGAAUUAUUGGGCGUAAAGGGCUCGUAGGCGGUCCAUCGCGUCGGGAGUGAAAAGCUGGGGCUUAACCCCAGUCCUGCUUCCGAUACGGGUGGACUAGAGGUAGGUAGGGGAGAACGGAAUUCCUGGUGUAGCGGUGAAAUGCGCAGAUAUCAGGAGGAACACCAAUGGCGAAAGCAGCUCUCUGGGACGGUACUGACGCUGAGACGCGAAAGCGUGGGGAGCGAACAGG